rnacentral:rRNA from 1 species
UACAGAGGGCCCAAGCGUUGUUCGGAUUCAUUGGGCGUAAAGGGUGCGUAGGCGGCGCGGUAAGUCGGGUGUGAAAUCUCGGGGCUUAACUCCGAAACUGCAUUCGAUACUGCCGUGCUUGAGGACUGGAGAGGAGACUGGAAUUUACGGUGUAGCGGUGAAAUGCGUAGAUAUCGUAAGGAAGACCAGUGGCGAAGGCGGGUCUCUGGACAGUUCCUGACGCUGAGGCACGAAGGUCAGGGGAGCAAACGGG